GGCCACCCUGUGGCACAAGGAGGUCCCAGGCCAGGGAUCAGAACCAGGCCGAGGUUGGGACCUAUGCCAUGGCCAUGCCAGAUCCUUAACCUGCUGUGCCUGGCCAGGGAUUGAACCUGUACCCCAGUGCUCUAGAGAUGCUGCCCAUCCUGUCACACCACAGUAGGAACUCCUAGACAUGUUGGUUUUAUCAUUAUUAUUUAAACUACAGAUGCUGUCUAUUUGUGCCAUUGGACCUUGCAGCUGCAUUGGACAUGUUUAAUCAUGCCCUCCAUGAAAUACUUUCUUCCUCCUCCUGAUUUUUUUGUUCUUUUUUUGCUUCUUCUUUGGCAGCCUCCUUUGUUGAUCCCACUUCCUUUUCUGAACUCAUCUCUCAGACUCUUUGCUGACAACCUCAUCCACCAGUUGGUCUCAUCCAGGCUUGGCUUCUGGAUAAACUGUCUAUAAUCGAGACCUGCCCCCCCCCAGUUUAUAUUUUUAGCCCAGGUCUCUCCCCACAUCUCAAGAGUUUUAUGUCCAAUUUUCUGUUCACAUCAUCACUUAGAUGUCUAGUGGGUAUUUCAAACUUAACACAUAUAAUACUGACUCCUGACCUCUACCCUCCAAACAUCUCUUCUGACAGUGUUCUCCAUUUUAAUAAAUGGUGACUCCAUCCUCUUAGUUACUUAAAACAGAAACCUUGGAACCAUCCCAUUCUUAAAGCCUUUUUUUUUUUCCCCCACUCCCAGAUCUACCAUGAAGCUAUGUGGGCUGUAUACAAAACAAAAAUACAUGUGGUUUGAAGUAUACGAAUUCCAUCUUUCAACUGGAUAAUUUCACCAGACCAGUUACAUGCCUUGAACUUUGCCCUUUCUUCUCAGUCUUUUUAAUAUACAAAAGGUAGAUGGAUCCUUCCAAAAGAAUCACAUUUUUCCUCUACUCAAAACCCUCUAAUGGGUUCCCAUUUCACUCUAAGAGCCAAAAUUUUCAUACUGACUUACAAAGUGCUAUAUUUUCUAAGCCCUACUUCCAUGUGAUAGCACAGAUUCUGUAAAUAAUACCCCCCUUACUUAUUCUUUUCCAGUCAUACUCACUUCCUUGCUGUCCCAAAAUGAGUCAAGCAUACUGAUGCUUUGGACUCUUGCUCUGCCAGGAAUGCUUUUUCCUCAGAUAUCCACACAACUCCCUCCUUUACCCUCUUCAGCUUCUGCUCUCAUGUCACCUCAUUAAGGAGGCCUGGCCUAACCACCCUAUUUAGAACUUCUUCUAUUACUGAGCCUAACUCAAGUUCAGUUGUCCUAUGUACAGCAAAGGCAAUCUACUGACACUGGGUUGUGGUGAUGGAAAGUACAGUGUUUUUUGCAAGGCACCUAGCAAAGGAGUGGGAGACAAGUCUCAGAUCCAUUCCAACUUGGUCUUUGAAUUUGGGCCCUUUUUAAAGGGGAAGAACAAAGAGGCUGGGGAUAAUCAUUGCCUUGUGGCAUUUCUGCAACAUUUCUUAACUGAAGUGUUGGGAGUCAGGAUGUCUCUGGCUUAUAAUUCUCAGUCCAGGUGGUCCAUGGCUGAGGAUCUAUUAGCUCAUCUUGCCCUAGAGAAACAACCUGAGUUUGUAAGUGAAUGGUGAUAUUUAUAAUAGCAAUUUUAGUAAAUCAAAGAUGUUAUCAUCAAUAGCAAUUUUAGUCAUUUGAAUCUGGUUGAUGAGUGUUUAGUCGGCAUAGGAUGGGGUUAGAGGGAACAAGAAAGGGAAUAAAAUUUUAUGUAAUAAGAGAGAUUAAUCAGAGACUUGGUAAGGGACUCAAUUUGGGGGCAACUCACUUUCACUUCUCCCUCUCACUGUAUUUUAAAAAAUUUCAUUACACUUAAUUUUUCCUCUGUUGCAUUUAAUACCAUUUGACUCAGUGUGUUGCUCACUAUUAUGUGCUUAUUUCUUGCUCACACACUCCAUUAAUGUUCCAUGAGAAGAGAGAUUUCUGGCUGUGUAUAUGGUAGUAACUCUGGUGCUUAGAACGGAACUGCACCUAAUGUCUUAACAAGCUAUCAAAUAAGUGCAUUUUGUAUACUCUUUAUAUAAAUAUUUCACAAUACGGAUUUCAAAAAAGGAAGACAGUAUAAAAAUAAGUAUAAAAUAAAGGAAGCAGUAGUUUCUACACAUAAGCCUGUUUGAAAGCUCUAUUAUUUUUUUAAUAAAAAUCAAAUUCUAUUACAUAAUGGGGAGUUUGAUUAAAAUUAGUGUUUUACAACCAGCUGUUUUGCUAUCAUGUAGACAAAUUGGGAUAUCCAAAAUUAAUAGAUCGAGUUAUGUAAUUUUACUAGAAAAGAGAUGAGGCAAGGAGAUGGAUUAAGGCAACUUCAUUAAGUGGAUUAUGAUGAGAGAAGAUAAAUAUAAAUUUAUGAUUAGAAGCUAUAGCAUUAGAAAUGAUUUAGUAUUGCAUUACUGCAGCUGCUGGCCCAAGCCACAGCCACAGCCAUAACAAUAGUGGAUCUGAGCCACAUCUGCAACCUACACCACAAAUUGUGGCAACACUGGACACUUAAUCCAUUGAGUGAGGCCAAGGAUUGAACCGGCAUCUUCACAAACACUAUGUUGGGUUCUUAACCUGCUGAGCCACAGCAGACAGUCCAGGAUGCUACAGUUUUCUACAAAGUCUUUCUAGUGGACGUUUGUGAUGUUUUCUGGUUAGGCAGCAUUUUAAAAAUACCCUUUCUAUGGUUAGGGAAUUUCCAGGCUUGUGAAUUAAAAAAGGAGGCAGAAAGCCCAGCUCCCCUGGCUCUUUGGAGGCUAAGGUACAGUCAUAUGACUCAGUGCUACCAAUCAGAUUUACCCAUAUUUAUCUUUGCCCUGGAAAGGAACCAGUUGAGAAAACAAGCACCCCUUGCCAGGUUCUAUCCUUAACCCUAAGACUAAAUUAAUAAGCAUAUAUUAUAUGUAAGUAGUCCCUAUAUCUUAAGUUACUUAUUACAGUUUAUAUCAGUAAAAUUAGAAACUUACAAAAUAGUUCAAAUAAUGGUUUAAAUGAAUAAAUUAGUAACCCUUUCAUGUACAACUAUACCUAUAGUCCUUCUCAGAUAAGAAUACAUCACUUUUUUCUUUAGAAAGCCUAUGUUUUAUGAUAUUUGAUAUAAUGAACAGCCUAUUACACAGUCCUGAGUGUGUAAGUGCUCAAUAGGUUAUUGUUGACUGAUUAAAGUAUAUUAAUUAUAAAACUAUACAGUAAUUAGAAUUUAAGUGAGAGGCCCCAUCACCCCAGACAGAGCAAGAAUUUCUGAGCCACCCAGCACUAUUGAAAAUUUCUGAGCCACCCAGCACUCUUAACUGCCCUUUACUUCACUUUCCCUUUCCAUCAAAUGGGGAUAAGAAGGUCUCUUUUUUAGGCCUGAGAUAAUUAAAUCAAACAAUACAUUUUAGAGCAGUUGGCGCCUAACUGGCACUCAAUUCAGGUGGUAACUAAUGCUUAUAUCAUUGCAGAUUUCAGAAUAGCCUAUAUUCUGGAGACACAAACAUAAUCCUUUUUGUUGGAGGCUGAAGAGCAUGUCAUAUGGAAUUACUUGGAAAGAGAGUUAAGAGCAUAGAUUGGACAAAAUAUGUCAGGCAGGCAAAAUAUGCAAAUCCCACGGGAAGCCAAAAUUACUGGUGUACAUUAAUAAAACACUUGAGCCUUGGAGCUCCCCCUGUGGCACAGUGGGUUAAGGAUCUGACUGUGGCAGCUUGGGUCACUGUGGAGGCACAGGUUUGAUCCCCAGCCUGGCACAGUGGGUUAAAGGACCCAGCAUUGCUGUAGCGUGGUUUAGAUUCAGUCCUUGACCUGAGAACUUCCAUAUGCUGUGGGUACAGCCAUAAAAUUAAAAAAAAAAAAAAGAUGAAAAAACUUGAGUCCUAGACCUAAAUAUUUCUGUCUGUACAACGAUAUAAACCAUGUAAUGGAAUGCAAAUUAUUUAACAGCAAUUUAAACCAUGAUUUUCAGACUAAUAAUAUCUAUUUCCACCAAGGUUACUCUAAUUAGAACCAAUGAGACUCAUUAAAACUCAAAAAUGCGUCUAGUGCACCAACACCUUAGCAGACAAAAGCAAAAUCGAGCAGUUUGGUGAGCGAUCUCUUUUGUUCCUACUUACCUUCAAGUGAGAUGUUUCUGCAGUGUCUCUUUAGCAAUUUGCACCCCUCAGUGUGCUCAACUGUGUAUAAAAAUGCUCUCAUCAGUGCACAUAUUGAAAAAGUAUUUAGGCUGGAAGUUUUAUUAUUCAGUUGCAAGUGCAGAGGAUCACUGUAGAAAAGGCUCUAACUCUAUUUUAUGCCUGAAGGAUUUCAGACAGUACAUGGAUUGAUGCUUCACUGGCUUUUCAGUGAAGAGAGGACUGAGGGAGGAAAGGUGACAUGGCAAGGAUCUGUGAAGCAUGGCAGCCAUGUCACAGUGGGGGUGAACCGGGGCAGGUCCUCAGCAUCAGGGGAGCCUGUCACAGGGAUCAGGACCUCAGCACCUGCCUGAGCAUCAAUGGCAGGAUUUUCUUUACUGACAGGUGGCCGGAACACAUGUAGCCUACCAGCAUGGUCUUUUGGUAAUAGGAACCAUAUUGUAAUAAGUACACAUAGAAGCUGGACAGGUAAAUGAGACAGAGAUUCUAGGCAAAGGAGCAAUAAGGGCAACUUUCUCAGAGGUCUGAAAGAGAAUGACACAUUUUGGAAAUGGUUAGUGGUCAAUGGCUAGGGCCCAAUGGGGCAUUAAGGAAAUGAUGAGGAAUGAAAUCGGAAAGAUAGACUUGGGACAAAUGGUGAAGAAUCUUGCAUGCUAAUCUCUCUCCAUCCUUGGCUUUCUGAAUAUGUGUAGAUAAAGUGAUAGGGACAGGGCUGUUGAUAGAUCUCACCCAAGGAUCUCUCUUUUCUCCAUGGAGAAAGAGGCAAGGUCAGAGGAUAAAAGGAAUGGUCAGUAUAGGCUCUUAAAAAGGCUGAACAUGAAUG
rnacentral:lncRNA from 1 species